rnacentral:tRNA from 1 species
GCGCCUGUAGCUCAGGUGGAUAGAGCAACUGCCUUCUAAGCAGUGGGUCGGGGGUUCGAGUCCCUCCAGGCGUACCA